AUACGGAAGGUCCGGGCGUUAUCCGGAUUUAUUGGGUUUAAAGGGAGCGCAGGCGGAGAUGCAAGCGUGACGUCAAAUUUCGGGGCUCAACCCCGUCUCGCGUCGCGAACUGCGUCCCUUGGUUGCGGGAAGGGGAGGCGGAACUCGUGGUGGAGCGGUGAAAUGCAUAGAUAUCACGAAGAACUCCGAUCGCGAAGGCAGCCUUCCGGCCCGUCAACGACGCUCAUGCUCGAAGGUGCGGGUAUCAAACAGGAUUAGAUACCCUGGUAGUCCGCACAGUAAACGAUGGACACCCGCGGUUUGGCCUGUAUGGCUGAGCCGCCAAGCGAAAGCGUUAAGUGUCCCACCUGGGGAGUACGCCGGCAACGGUGAAACUCAAAGGAAUUGACGGGG
rnacentral:rRNA from 1 species